GCGGACGGGUGAGUAACGCGUGGGUAACCUGCCCUGUACACACGGAUAACAUACCGAAAGGUAUGCUAAUACGAGAUAAAAUACUUUUAUCGCAUGGUAGAAGUAUCAAAGCUUUUGCGGUACAGGAUGGACCCGCGUCUGAUUAGCUAGUUGGUAAGGUAACGGCUUACCAAGGCGACGAUCAGUAGCCGACCUGAGAGGGUGAUCGGCCACAUUGGAACUGAGACACGGUCCAAACUCCUACGGGAGGCAGCAGUGGGGAAUAUUGCACAAUGGGCGAAAGCCUGAUGCAGCAACGCCGCGUGAGCGAUGAAGGCCUUCGGGUCGUAAAGCUCUGUCCUCAAGGAAGAUAAUGACGGUACUUGAGGAGGAAGCCCCGGCUAACUACGUGCCAGCAGCCGCGGUAAUGCGUAGGGGGCUAGCGUUAUCCGGAAUUACUGGGCGUAAAGGGUGCGUAGGUGGUUUCUUAAGUCAGAGGUGAAAGGCUACGGCUCAACCGUAGUAAGCCUUUGAAACUGGGGAACUUGAGUGCAGGAGAGGAGAGUGGAAUUCCUAGUGUAGCGGUGAAAUGCGUAGAUAUUAGGAGGAACACCAGUUGCGAAGGCGGCUCUCUGGACUGUAACUGACACUGAGGCACGAAAGCGUGGGGAGCAAACAGGAUUAGAUACCCUGGUAGU
rnacentral:rRNA from 1 species